rnacentral:rRNA from 1 species
GAUGAACGCUGGCGGCGUGCCUAAUACAUGCAAGUCGAGCGAACAGACGAGGAGCUUGCUCCUCUGACGUUAGCGGCGGACGGGUGAGUAACACGUGGAUAACCUACCUAUAAGACUGGGAUAACUUCGGGAAACCGGAGCUAAUACCGGAUAAUAUAUUGAACCGCAUGGUUCAAUAGUGAAAGACGGUUUUGCUGUCACUUAUAGAUGGAUCCGCGCCGCAUUAGCUAGUUGGUAAGGUAACGGCUUACCAAGGCAACGAUGCGUAGCCGACCUGAGAGGGUGAUCGGCCACACUGGACCUGAGACACGGUCCAGACGCCUACGGGAGGCAGCAGUAGGGAAUCUUCCGCAAUGGGCGAAAGCCUGACGGAGCAACGCCGCGUGAGUGAUGAAGGUCUUCGGAUCGUAAAACUCUGUUAUUAGGGAAGAACAAAUGUGUAAGUAACUAUGCACGUCUUGACGGUACCUAAUCAGAAAGCCACGGCUAACUACGUG